rnacentral:lncRNA from 1 species
GUCAAAAUCAUGGUAUGGCCAUGUCACUGUUCUACCUAAAUUCUUAAUUGGCUCCACUAAGGCACAGAAGCAAAUGGAAAUUUUUUUCACCUGUCAAAUACAGCUUUCAUGAUACCACCUUUGCGUAGGUCUCUGGGUUUUUCUCUCUUUAACAUCUGCUGUGUGCUUAAAAUUGCAGCAACAAAGGACAGAGCAUGCCACUUCUCGCCUUCUUAUCUGUGCCCACUAGAUUGUCUAUCUGGAAUGUUCUGUCCAUCUUUCUUUCAUUUCAGAUUCCCUCUAUUUGGAAUGCUCUUUUAAGUCAUCACCAGUAAUGCUCUUUCUCUGAAUAGAUUGGUCUUAUAUUGAAUUAUAAAUGUAAUGUUCUUUUUCUGUCCAACUUAACCUACUUGACCAUGACAUGCCUUCAGAACACAGGAUGAAUGUGUGAGUGAGUUUGGCUGCAAGCCACAAAACUCAACUCUGAAUAAAUGAGUCAAGUGAAAA